ensembl:rRNA 5S_rRNA 5S ribosomal RNA
UGUUAGGACCAUACCACCCUGAACGUGCCCAAUGUUGUCUGAGCUCGGAAGCUAAGCAGGCUCAGGCCUGGUUAGUACUUGGAUGGGAGACCACCUAGGAAUACCAAGUGCUUUAGGUU